rnacentral:lncRNA from 1 species
AGAUGUUUACAGCAAUGCUGAGUGUUUUCAUUUCAUUCAGUCAUAUCCCUGUUGUCCAUUUCACAGGAAACUGGGUUGCAGACAACUGAUCUAACUUGUCCAAUAUCACAUAGCUAGCAAUUGGUGAGGCAGGAUGCUUGCAAAAUCAUACUCCUCACCAUUAUGCCAUCUUACCUCUUAAAAGGUUGUAAGAAUAAAUUCAGUUUCCACAAAUGGUUUGUUGGAAAGGUGGCAAGAGAGGACAAGAAAAAUGUCUCAAAUGUCUUAAUGAGGCAUCACAGAUACCUGUAA